AGUGGUAGGUACUAUGAAAUAAAAGGCAAUGUAAUAUGUAAUUAAUUCAGUAUACAUUAAACUAGGAUCAAUGCCAGACAUACUAUCCUCUUAUAUCCUCAUAACAACCCCACUGGUAAAGACAAUUAUUCAAUGUAUCUAGAAGCUAAGAAUCAGAGAUGGUAAGUGACUGGAAAUGAAGUUUGGGAGAGGUUAGGUGACUUGUCUGAGUUGGCAGAGCCGGGAUUCAAGCCAAGUUGUCUUGGUUUCCUCUGCUCCAUACCCUUGGUUCCCAAACCCACACCCCACUGUGGCAUUUUUCACAUGGCCAAGGUGAUACAGCAGAGGCAAGCUUCCAGUCUCCUACCUCAAAGGCACAGCGACCUCUGUGAUUUAAUCACCACAACAGUUCUGUGGAGGGUUGGCAGGGGAUUUGUCAGAUAAACAACAACAACAAAAACCAACAGAUUUCAGAAGCAUAAAUCCCACGUGGCCUGGAGGCAACCAUUUUCUGUGUAGUAGCCUCGGUCUUCUUCAUUUGUAAUAUGGGGAUAAUUAGAGCAUCUACCUGAUAGGUUUGCUCUAAGGACGAAGUGAGAUAAUAUAAGUGAAAAGCACUUUGUGUAAACUGCUAAGUGUCAUUCAGUGAAAAAAGAAUCAGAGACAUGCCGAAAGGACAAGCAAAAUGCUAACCCAAUGAACUGGGUCUAGUAUAAAACCAUUACUUGCCUCAUAACAAGAAAUAAUAGUGA
rnacentral:lncRNA from 1 species